rnacentral:rRNA from 1 species
CCUACGGGAGGCAGCAGUGGGGAAUAUUGCACAAUGGGGGAAACCCUGAUGCAGCGACGCCGCGUGAGUGAAGAAGUAUUUCGGUAUGUAAAGCUCUAUCAGCAGGGAAGAAAAUGACGGUACCUGACUAAGAAGCCCCGGCUAACUACGUGCCAGCAGCCGCGGUAAUACGUAGGGGGCAAGCGUUAUCCGGAUUUACUGGGUGUAAAGGGAGCGUAGACGGCAGCACAAGUCUGUCGUGAAAUGCCGGGGCUUAACCCCGGAACUGCUUUUGAAACUGUGCAGCUAGAGUGCAGGAGAGGUAAGUGGAAUUCCUCGUGUAGCGGUGAAAUGCGUAGAUAUUAGGAGGAACACCAGUGGCGAAGGCGGCUUACUGGACUGUAACUGCCGUUGAGGCUCGAAAGCGUGGGGAGCAAACAGGAUUAGAUACCCUGGUAGUC